CCCGCGUCUCUCAUUCUCUCAGUCUACUUCAGGUCUCAGCUUCCGAGAUGGCUUUCGCGAAAGCUCAGAAAACGAAAGCAUACUUCAAACGGUAUCAGGUUAAAUUCAAGAGAAGAAGAGAGGGCAAGACUGAUUAUCGGGCCAGGAUUCGCCUCAUUAAUCAGGACAAGAACAAGUACAAUACUCCCAAAUACCGCUUUGUUAUUAGAUUUACCAAUAAGGAUAUUACAGCACAAAUAGUAUCUUCUAGCAUUGCUGGUGACAUGGUUCUUGCUGCCGCGUAUUCUCAUGAGCUGCCUAAUUAUGGUCUUGAAGUUGGUCUAACAAAUUAUGCAGCAGCCUACUGUACUGGACUUCUAUUGGCUCGCCGUGUCUUGAAGAAGCUUGAGAUGGAUGACGAGUACGAGGGCAAUCUUGAGGUUACUGGAGAGGAUUACUCCGUGGAACCCACAGAUAGCCGAAGGCCUUUCAGAGCCCUCCUUGAUGUAGGUCUAGUCCGAACAACAACAGGAAACCGUGUUUUUGGUGCCCUCAAGGGAGCUCUAGAUGGUGGAUUGGAUGUUCCACACAGCGUCAAGAGGUUUGCUGGUUUUUCAAAAGACAGCAAGGAGCUUGACGCUGAUGUUCAUCGCAAAUACAUUUUUGGAGGCCACGUUGCUGCCUAUAUGCGGACCUUGAUGGAGGAUGAACCAGAGAAGUAUCAAUCUCAAUUCAGUGAUUACAUCAAGAAAGGAAUUGAGCCUGACAACAUCGAGGAGUUGUUGAAGAAAGUUCAUUCUGCAAUCCGUGCAAAACCAUUGGCAAAGACCUCUGAGAAGCAACCACCAAAGAAGCACAAGAGGUAUAACUUGAAGAAGCUCACAUAUGAAGAAAGGAAGGCCAAGUUGGUCGAGCGAUUGAAUGCAUUGAAUUCUGCUGCUGGAGCUGACGACGAUGAAGAAGAUGAAGAGUGAUUUAACUAGGUUGCCUGCAGUCUCAACACAAACUGUAUUUCAACCAAUUCUAUCAGUACAAACCAUUUAGAUUAUGUGAGAAUAUCCAUAGAUUAUUUUUUCUCUGCCUCUGGCGAUUUUGCAGCAUUUUUAGCGUUUUUGUUAUCU
rnacentral:misc_RNA from 1 species